AUUGAACGCUGGCGGCAGGCCUAACACAUGCAAGUCGAACGAGUGGCGGACGGGUGAGUAAUGUCUGGGAAACUGCCCGAUGGAGGGGGAUAACUACUGGAAACGGUAGUUAAUACCGCAUACCAUCGGAUGUGCCCAGAAGGGAUUAGCGAGUAGGUGGGGUAACGGCUCACCUAGGCGACGAUCCCGAGCUGGUCUGAGAGGGUGACCGGCCACACUGGAACUGAGACACGGUCCAGACUCCUACGGGAGGCAGCAGUGGGGAAUAUUGCACAAUGGGCGCAAGUCUGAUACAGCCAAGCCGCGUGUGUGAAGAAGGCCUUCGGGUUGGAAAGUACUUUCAGCGAGGAAGCGUUACUCACAGAGAAAGCACCGGCUAACUCCGUGCCAGCAGCCGCGGUAAUAC
rnacentral:rRNA from 1 species